rnacentral:rRNA from 1 species
UGGGGAAUAUGGGACAAUGGGCGCAAGCCUGAUCCAGCCAUGCCGCGUGAGUGAUGAAGGCCCUAGGGUUGUAAAGCUCUUUCACCGGUGAAGAUAAUGACGGUAAUCGGAGAAGAAGCCCCGGCUAACUUCGUGCCAGCAGCCGCGGGAAUACGAAGGGGGCUAGCGUUGUUCGGAUUUACUGGGCGUAAAGCGCACGUAGGCGGACUUUUAAGUCAGGGGUGAAAUCCCGGGGCUCAACCCCGGAACUGCCUUUGAUACUGGAAGUCUUGAGUACGGUAGAGGUGAGUGGAAUUCCGGGUGUAGAGGUGAAAUUCGUAGAUAUUCGGAGGAACACCAGUGGCGAAGGCGGCUCACUGGACCAUUACUGACGCUGAGGUGCGAAAGCGUGGGGAGCAAACAGG